GGGGAUUUAGCUCAGUGGUAGAGUGCUUGCCUAGGAAGAGCAAGGCCCUGGGUUCGGUCCCCAGCGGUCCCCA
rfam:Rattus norvegicus chromosome 4, whole genome shotgun sequence.